AAAAAAAUUGUCUUUGAAAAACAACUAUAGUUUUUAUGGCGGGCGCUCUUAUGGAAAUUUACAUUGGAUGCAGUGGGUACAGAAGACUCUUAAGGUCAUAUCGAUUUUGGCUCACUCAAAGCUUAAUGCGUGCCGAUACUGGCUCACUUUCAAGGCCAUGCGGUGUUUGUCUGUCGAGCGGAGUUUGAGAACAAAGGGUGUAUUGUUUUCGGGUGAUCAAGGCGACUUAAGAAUGGGUGUGGUUCAGAUUAAUAUAAGUGUUUGUUGUAAUGGGUCUUUGCUCAAUAAUUCUAUAAUAGGCGAGAUGUCAAGAGCCAUUGUUCAUCAUCAUCCACAGCAGCAGCAGCAGCAACGGAAAAAAAGAAUUGACGAACUGUUACUGAAAAUUAGAAAAUUAAAGUGGGAUGUUGAAAUGCUGGGUUGUCAGCGCCGUAUGAAAAAACUGAUUUUGUAAUGAUUCAUACAGUGGCAGUUAAGGCAAGGAUUAUUUCUUUGUGUGUGAGGCAAUGGCAUAAAUACGACGACGAUGGUUAUUUCUUGUGUACCAAUUAAGACAAUUUGUAUGUAAAGUUUGCGAAUUAAAAGAAUGUAUAAAGGGUGCUUAUUCAUUUUCCCCCGACAUCCAUCCUUUAGAACCAGCCUCUUUAAAAAAAUUUGGGGAUUGGUGUUUAAUGAACUCUCAAUUUUAAAAACGAGUACACUGUACCUACCGUGAAUAGACGUUCUGCAUGGUAUCGCGCAUUUGGUAAAAAUAGAAAAUUAUCAGCUCGCAUUAUGCCGACUUGCGUAUGCACUCAUUUCAUUGCACAGUGAUAUUCGCCGAUUCGCGAUGUGUUGUGGAAAAUAAUUUUGGUGUUUCUUUGUGAUAAUGAUUAAUUCGGAUUAGUAUUUUCACUCGAACUCAGGUUUUCAUCUUGAACUCGUGAUGCAUCCAACUCCCGUUCUAAACGCUCCGUCUGGAGUUGGGAAUUUCUUUGUCUGGCCUGGAAAGUUGUCAGCAUCUUCUCCAGACACCCCAUUGAUAACAUCGCCAGCUCUUGGGGUGUGGAUGGCUCGCGCCAUCUGGGCGAUUCAUGAGAUGGCGGCGGUGGUGGUGGCGCCUCUUCUUGGUCGAUGGCUGCUGAAGACGGCGGAGAGACGUUUUCAUAAAAUUCUCUUAGUAAUUGCAUAUCUUUUUCCCCCCUAGGCAACGGGGCACUGUAACAAUAAGAAAAACACAGUAUUAAAAAUAGAUUGUAUGUAUAAUAAAAGUAACUUACUGAAAGUGA